rnacentral:rRNA from 1 species
UGGGGAAUCUUGCGCAAUGGCCGCAAGGCUGACGCAGCGACGCCGCGUGGGGGAGGAAGGGCUUCGGCUCGUAAACCCCUGUUGCCCGGGGCGAACAUCCCUUUUCGAGGGGACUGACGGUACCGGGUGAGGAAGCACCGGCUAACUCCGUGCCAGCAGCCGCGGUAAUACGGAGGGUGCGAGCGUUGUCCGGAAUCACUGGGCGUAAAGGGCGCGUAGGUGGCCGAGCAAGGUCGCGGUGAAAGCCCGGGGCUCAACCCCGGGUCGGCCGUGGCAACUACUUGGCUUGAGCACUGUAGGGGCGGGUGGAAUUCCGGGUGUAGCGGUGGAAUGCGUAGAGAUCCGGAAGAACACCGGUGGCGAAGGCGGCCCGCUGGGCAGGAAGGCUCGCAAGAGCCGGCUGACACUGAGGCGCGACAGCGUGGGGAGCAAACAGG